UUCGCCGGGUCGAUGCUAUCUGGUGUACGUGAGCUGGGUUCAGAACGUCGUGAGACAGUUCGGUCCCUAUCUGAUGUGGGCGUUGGAAUAUUGAUGAGAGCUGCUCUUAGUACGAGAGGACCGGAGUGGGCGUACCGCUGGUGUUCCAGUUGUCUUGCCAAAGGCACAGCUGGGUAGCUAAGUACGGAAAAGAUAACCGCUGAAAGCAUCUAAGCGGGAAGUUUCCUCAAAGAUGAGUAUUCCUUAUGAAAUUCCUUGUAGACUACGAGGGUGGCA
rnacentral:rRNA from 1 species